CUCCAGGGUCUCCCAUCUCCUCAUAAACAGAGGUUCUGUCUUCCAAGUCUCCUUCCCACCCUCCCUGAGGCGACGGCUGGCAGGAGUAACAGCCUUCAGACCACAGACAGACCUAGAAGGGGGCCUAGCAACACCUUUUCCCCUCUCUGAGACGUCAGUCCGGGGUGGAGACUGGCAAUCCCUCCACCCAUCCUUUAUCCUUGGGAGAAGUGCCAGACCUCAGCAAAACAAACCAGUCCCCUGGGGUUCACUAUAGUACAGAUCAGAGCUCUUUUCUAGGUCCUGACACACUGUUUUAUAAAAACAAAAAGCAGGUAUUGAAGCAGCCCAUUUAAGCCUGAGACCUCGAGGUCAAAGGCAUUUAGGGCGGGCAUGGACUGUGGAGGCCCCAGGAAAAUGUCUUCUGGCCAUCUUCAACCACACAUCACAGGCCCAAGCAGCAGAGAAACCCCCUAGUCAAGUACUAUCACUUGGCAGCAGAUGGCUGGUUCCUCUUUGUUCUCAAGGACAGUGGCUUGACCCUUCAGAAGCCUGAUAGGACAGGAGACGCUGCCAGCUCUUUCCUCUGGCCAGGCCCUUACAUAAUCUGCUGCCCCAGUUCUCCCACCUCUUCGGGCCCCUCUGCGCCAUACUGGCAUUCGAGAAACACGUUCACACCCACUGGUUCAUGGGAAUACCACAGCAGCCCCAGGAGUGCAAAUUACCAUCCCAUUUUCCAGAGGAGGAAACUGAGGCUCCAAGGAGACUUCUCUGAGUUAAGUGGCCUGCUCAGGUUGCCACUUGGGGUGGAAGUAGAGUUGGAACUUGAGUUAAAGCCUUGUCACACCGUGUUCUUUCCUCUGUGUGGCUCCAGAAAGCCUGCUCAGCAAGACUGAGGAACCAACUGAUUUGUCAUUAUAAUAAUGAUCAACAGAGGAGAAAACUGGCCCAGAGAGGGCAGUGAUUUGCCCCGGGCUACACAGCUAGGUGGUGAGCACGCUGGAACCCACAAAUGACCGGAUUCAGGACUCCGCUCAACUGUCAGCUUCACAGAGGCCUGGACAACUCUCCGUGACAGCCAGAGGAGCCUGGGACGUGACCUCGAAGCUUAUAGGCCUGUCUCCCAGAACCACAGAGGGGACAGCUCUCUCCUGGGCCCGGCAUGGGGCCUGGCCCUCAGUUGCCCCCAGCAGGAGGGAUGACGGGAGGAAUUAUUGAAUGCAUCCCUGAAUUCAAGAUGGAACUCCUCUCCAAACCCUCCACACCCAUCCCAAGCGUCCAAGCGGAGCUCAAAGUCCAGAGGGUAAAUGAUGCCAUGUAAAUACUGGACUGAGUCUGGGGAGCAGUCAGCGUCCCCUUCUGUAAGGCAGGGAGAGGAUGGAGCUGAGUGGUUUCUGACGCCCUUCCCCACUCGGGUGCUCCCUGAGGCAGUUAGGAUGUUGAUGAGGAGGGUGAGCUCUGAGCCAGACAGACCGGAGCCUGAGUCCCGGCUCGUGGCUCCCACUUGCGUCCGUCUCACGUCCUCCCACACCCACUCCAUCUUGGGCAAGUCACUGCCCCUCUCAGCUUCCAUGUCUUCAUCUGUGAAACGGUGCUUGGCCCCAGUCCCACACAAGGAGUAGGGAAAGGAAAAAGGAGUUGCUGUCCAUAAUAGCACCUGGCACACAACAAGUGCCCGACGAACUUUGGCAAGUGGUUUUUUAGAGUUGUUCUUACUUCCAUUGUUGACACUCCCUACCAGAUCCUUUGCUUUCUGUAAAAUAAAUGUCCUGCCCUCCCCCACCCCCGCCACCAAUUCAAGUUUCUACACUGUGGCCUGUGCCUAGCCAAGGUGUCCUGGAUGAACACGGCAUUCCCUCCUGUGAGGAGGGAAGCAGAGAUGCCAACAGCAAGCCUUGGGUUUGACUUGCUGCCAGCCUCGCCCCCGUGGAGGCUGCUGUCUGUACAUAAAUCCUGUCCUCUCCUGGGAAAAGUAAUGGCAGAGGCUGCUUCCCCAGGACACAAACACCCUGUCCGCGGCACAAAAUAAAGUGACUUCGCAUCUGUUACCUGCUUGGGUAGACAGCAACUCUCUCUCCCUCUUUGCACGUCAAGUGGACGGUCUGGGUCUUACUCUCCCACAUUGGGAAAGGAUGAGAGAAGGCAGUACCUUCCGUUCAGCUGGAAGAAGCUGGAGCCAGGAUUUGAACCCAGUCCCCUGACCCUGCUCUUUGUCCCCCUGUGGCUGCAUCUCUGGGUCACCACGCC